ACUGAACAAAGUUCUUGGGUCUGCUUUCAAAUUGGCAUAUGCAGGAGAAGACUUGG
rnacentral:sRNA from 1 species